UCUUUACCAAACGGGGGCCGAGCAUAGUCGGCUGAGAUUGUAACGAAUGCGUUACUGACCGUUGAACCUGACCUGGGUCAUGCCAGCGGAGGAAGAGGUAGACGAAAUCAA
rnacentral:ncRNA from 2 species